GGCCCGAGAACCCUUUAUAGGGGAUUUAAUUGAGGCUCAGGUUUUGGACAGGACGUCCCGCCCUACAGGAAGGCUUGAUUCAUCCAGGGCUGAGCCCAGCCCCGCCCAUCUCCUUUCUUCUGUUUCCUCGACUGACAUCUGGUAGUCUAAUUAGCAGUCCCUCCUACCACAGUUGAGGCCAUCUCUAGCUGGGUCUGUCCCCUCAUGACAAGGAGACUGCUGUCCAGUGUGGUGGGUCCAGUAGUGCUCAGCAUGGGUUGAGGAUCAUGGUGAAUGUUCUUUGCCUCCAUUAACCUGCAAGCAUUCAAAGCACAUCCACAUUUUCAAGAACAUAGCAUCUAUUGAGGAUUAUCCUUCUCAAAGUAGCCGCUUUGGGAGGCUACACAUAUUUUUCUGGUGAUGCUGUUACUUAGAACAUGUUUUGAAUUCUUGUCUUAGAAUUGCCUUUAUGAGACACAGAAAGCCAUUUUCAUUUCUUUGUAAUUGGGUCUCAGUUUUCAUGAAAACAGGAAAGGUUAGUGCUUCUCCCACCCCAUGCUAUGGGUCAGUAGCCUUCUACAGCAGUGAGAGAAGAGGCUUAAAUGAUCAUGUGCAUCCUCCUUAUUGCAAAGACAAGGAAUUCAACUGAUUGACUACUCAGCAAACAAUCGCGGAAAGAUGGCUCUGCUUCAGACAGAGGGCUAAGGCUUGGGGCAUACAGUGUGGAAUAAGAUGGUGGCCAUUUCAACUCUUGCAGAAUACACAGCUUCACAGUCCCAGGGAAAGUCCUUGAGGGGUUAAUGGUAACCACCAUGAGUAUUCGGUUCCAUUUUCAUUACUGUCUCAUUUUAUUGGCUCUCCACAACCAUCCUAUGAGGUGGUAGGGCUGAGCCUAUUUUAUAAAUGGGAACACUGAGAAAUCCUCAGGGAAGUGACCUCUCAGAGAAGAGGGGCGGGGCUGCACCAGGGACCCUCAGACCCCAUACCUUGGCUUCUCUGUUACAACCUGCUGAUGCUUAUUCUUGAUGAUGUUGGCACUUUGCAGAGAACAGAUUCAUUCUCCACGCACUGCUGAGGAUGCAGAGAGGGACGUCUCCUGCUGAGUCUCAGAGGGGGCCAAGUCCCGUGGAGAGGCUCCUAAGUGACAAUGUGGCAGGGAGUAUAUACAGCUUCUCCAGCAACUAUGGGUUGGGAAUGCCAUGUCCUCCCUCCUCUCUCACACCAGUGUGCAGCAGACAGGAGCAUCAGGAUGGCAGGACACUGUCAGGGCUUUGGUUGCAGCGACUGGCACAGCGAGGACAGCUCUGCAGUAGCAGCACAAACCCCAGCACAGCAGGGCAAAGAACCUGGGUGAGCAGCAGACUGCAGGAGGGCCCCUCAGGCCUUGUGGAUGGAGAGGUCUGUCCCAUGGAUGGAGCUGGCCAGAGCAGAGGAGGCAAGUGAGGCUGCUGUGGGAACUGACCAGUGUAAGGAGAAGCCUGGCUUGAGAGAGGGACAUUGCAGAACAGGAGUGAGUUUGGCAGAUGGGCCCUUCCUUCCUGGGUGGUGUUCUAAGCUUGGAAUUUUCAUAAAGGUUUGGGAAGUAAGGGAAAGUAAAGUAGGGAAGUAAAAGCCAGGUACCUUAACUGUGAGGCAGGUAUUAUUACAUUCAAUUUGCAGAUGAAGAAACUGAGGCACAGAGAGGUUAAGUAAACUCCUCAAGGUAACAUACCUGAAAAGUGGUAAACCCGAAUCGGAACUGUGCUCUGCCUGCCGCCUCAGCCCUUGUCUUUGCUGUGGGAGGAGGAGCUGCAGCAGCAUGGAGCAGAGGUCAGCAGAGCCUGUGUGUGCUGGGGGGCGAUGGGGCAGUGGGAGAGCCUGGGGCUGACAGUCUCUGAGAGCAAGUUUGUUGCGUUUGUGAAGAAUUCUGUACAUCAGCGAUUUUACUCAGUCGUUGCAUCUGCUGCAGGGCAGAGAGGGGCUGGGGUCUGUUCAGAAAUUGAGUCAAACUCUCAUCCUCUGGUCACUGUUCAUUAUCUCCAAAAAGAAAUAUCUCGUAGCAAGAGAAACUCCUCCGUGCACUUUGAAUUCCUUCUUGCACACUUGCGCAGAAAUUCAUAGCUUCGUCUAUUGGAUUCGUCUGUGUUGGACACAGUCCGUGUUUGCUACACUUAGUGGGCUACAAAUGAAGAAUAAGAUGUGUUUCCAAGAAAAUCAGUCCAAUUGGGCAAAUAAGCCAUACACACCAAAAGUAACUAAUAGUGGGAGACAGAAUUUUAUAAAAAUACUGAAUAAGAAAAACAGUCAUAUCACAGAGUCUGGGGAACGAAUCAGUGCUCAGGAAUUAUGAGAUCAGGACCUGGUAAUCAACACCUCCCCACCUGUGGUUGUGUUGGUUUACUGGGUUCAUUUCACUUUAUUUUCUUUGCUAAUACUGAGUGCCUACUAUGCACAGGCACAUGUAAAGAGCUUACACACAUCUCUCCGUUUAACCAUCACAACAUCCCUAGGAUAGCAAAGCUAUUAUUCCAGUUUCACAGAUGAAUAAACUAUCAUUUAAAUAACUAACCUACCUUCCUAAAGACAGAAUAUACUAACUGGUGAAGGCAGAAAUUUUUUAAGAGAAUGGUUUGCAUUUAAAAAAUUUAUUUACUUUUAUUUAUUUGAAAGGUAGAGAGCCAGAGACCAACAGGCAGAGAGAAGGCUCCCAUCUGCUGGUUCACUCCCUAGAGGCCACCAAUAUCUGGGGCUGGGCCAGGUCUAAGCCAGGGGCCAGGAACUCAAUCCAGCUCUCCCACUUGGGUGGUAAGGACCGUCCAAUCCAUCACUUGCUGCCUCUCAAGUCUGCAUUAACAGGGAGCUGGAGUUGGAAGUAGAACUGGGACUUGAAUCCAGGUCUUCUGAUAUGGGAUGCAGGUAUUCUAAGCAGCAUCUUAACAGUUGCACCAAAUGCCUGCCUCAGAAGGCAGGAGUUGAACCCCAAAAUGUCCAACUUCUCAACCUGGUCUCUUAACUGAUCUGCCCUGCCUUUUAGCUAAAUUUCUUAAAUUUGAGGUCUAGGCAAUUCCCUUUUACUUCAGCCCAGCUCAGUGUGGGGUGUUACAGCUCAGCCACUAAGUGAAGCAGCUUUGGGACCACAGAGGGUAACAAAUAGGGCAAGUUCCCAUAUCCAGAGGCCCUGGUAUAAAGCUGAGGGCAAGGCCUGAGGAAAAAAAAUCUGUGUUCUCACUCCCUCCUGCUUCAGUGGUAAAAUCCAGAAUGAAUGAUAAAACCAUUGAUAAAUUCAGCCCAAGAGAGGAGUGAGUCUUUCAUGAGGGUGGCACCUUCCCUUGGUUUCUCCCCUGCCCUGCAUCAUGGUUGUCAUCUUUUGAUGCCAAAAACUUUGUCCUAAAGAGGAACAUGCUUAUCACACACACAAACAAGGAGGCCACAGUAGGGUACUCUGAGCGCUAAACAUCCUCUGUCUAAUUAAAUGCCUUUUACAGUGUAGCUUCAUUAGUAUCUACUGCCAGGUCCUCAUUGGUUGGAGAAUAAGAGGAAUAUAGAGAUAAUGGGGGCAACCCAUCUGUCCCCCCCAUCCCCCACCCCCAUGCACCCCGGGUUGCAGGGGAUUGCCAAGCCUGACAUAGUUUGACUGGUCUUCCAAAUUUCUGUUAUUAAGUACAGCCCAUAAAGCAGCCUGCUCACCAGACACCUUCACUUUUGUCCAGGAGCACAGAAUGGUGAUAAGGAACAGGAGCGUGCCAGAGGGUGGCCAUGUCCUUCCCCCAAAAGUACAUGAUUCUGGGCGUCACCUUUAGAACAAAAGCAAAUCUGAAAGCCAGAGAGAUGAGUGGCACAGGUGACAGAAUUUGCUGGUGCUUAUUAUCCACAUAUGCCAGUUGAAAGACAGCAUGACCGGGGUGUGGUUCUUGGAGGGUAAGAGAACAAUGAGCACUUCUGGGCUUCCUCAUCCUCUCUGUGCCCUUCUCUCAGACCCAGCCACUGGAGGCCCUGAUCAAAGCCUCCCGGAAACCCAGGUGCUAACCCAGGUGCUGGAGUUCAGCACAGGACAUGCCAGGAAGGAUUAGGCUGAUACCAGAGACGUCCCUACCAAUGGCUUUGCGACUGUUGGACUUUGUAGGCCUAAUCCCUGGCCUGACCAGUUGUGUUGGCCCCGUUGUUUCUCAGAGUCAUGACCAGGCAAGGAGCACAUGACUAACAUGAUCCUUAGCAUCCUUGGUUUGCUCAAGGGAGCUGGAAUCCACCAUUUUUUAGGUCCUCUGUAUAUCCUGGAACUAGGUGUUCAGUCCUUAGGCAGAGAUCCUACAAGGUUUCAACCUUUUCUUCUUCUCACUGAGAAAAGAAAGUCAUGGCAGGGGCUUGACCAGGGUUCCUUCUUCUAAGUUCCUCAAAGUCCUGAUGAUGCCAAAGGUUUGUUGGCUUAAAUGUAAUGGUAGCAGACUUAUUUCCAAUUGGUUCCUUAUUCUAUCAUAAUCUCCAGUCUAAAAGUAUGGACCUACCAUUCACCCCAAAACUGCGGCUCAUGCUGCCUUCUUGACUUCCUUCUAAUUCCUCUUGUCUUGUAUUUUCCUUUCAUCUCCAUGCAGAUACUGUCUCCCUGUUCAGAACAACUCAGAUAUCACUUCCUCCUUCACAUGUUUCCACAUUAUCCCAACCAGCUGAGCUCUGUCUUUUAGACAUCUUAGUUUUCUUCUAAUACUCUUCUUUUAUCUUCUAAGAUAUUUCAAAUAAUAUAAAGAGUUAAAUGAGCAAACAUAAAUUUAACUUUUUUAAACAUUUUAUACUAUUUGCCUCAUAUAUAAACAUUAUAUAUAUAAUUUUUUUGACAGAGUGGACAGUGAGAGAGAGAGAGAAAGGUCUUCCUUUUCUGUUGGUUCACCCCACAAUGGCCACUGCGGCCAGCGCGCUGCGGCCGGUGCACCGCGCUGAUCUGAAGCCAGGAGCCAGGUGCUUCUCCUGGUCUCCCAUGCAGGUGCAGGGCCCAAGGACUUGGGCCAUCCUUCACUGCCUUCCCGGGCCACAGCAGAGAGCUGGCCUGGAAGAGGGGCAACUGGGACAGAAUCCGGCACCCUGACCAGGACUAGAACCUGGGGUGCUGGCACCGUAGGCAGAGGAUUAGCCUAGUGAGCUGCGGUGCCAACUAUAUAUAUAAUUUUUGAAAGCAGGAGUGGAUAUAUUAAUAUCACAUAACAUGGAGCUUACAACAAAAAUCAUAAAACAGGAAGAAGAGUACAUUAUUAUGUUAGGGGUAUAAUUCAGUAAAGAUAACAUUUAUAAAUAUAUACCCUAUAAUGUGGCAUCAUCUCUCUCUCUAUAUAUAUGUAUAUGUAUGUAUACACACACACACACACACACACACGUGCAUGUGCACACCCACACACACCCACAUACACAUAUGCGAGAAAACAAGCGAUAUUUGUCUUUCUGUGUAUGGCUUAUAUGACUUAGCAUAAUGAUUGACAGUUCCAGCUGUUUUGCUGCAAAUGUCAAGAUUUUAUUCUUUUUUUUUAAUAGCUGAGUAAUAUUGCAUUGUGUACCUAUACCACAUUUCCUUUAUCUACUCAUUCACUGACAGACAUCUAGGUUGAUUUCGUAUCUUUUCUAUUGUGAAUAGUGCUGCAACUGUUGCAUCUUUUACAGCAUUUAUUGUACUCUACCCUCAUUAUCCUUGCUUGUCUACUUGCUUAUCUUUUUUAGAUUAUGCCACCUUUUGAGGACAAAACUGGUUUGUAGUGAGAUGACUUGAUAUGGAAGCCCUUGUGCAUUCUCAGAAAAGCAUAGCUGCGCUGUCUCCUGAAGACUUGAGGGCUGGGUGUUAUGUCACUUAAAUCAUACCUUGACUGACCCAUAUUUUUAUCCCACUAGAGCUACUGGGCUUCAACCUUGUAUUCAUGGGCGUGUAGUGGGAUAUCUAUGUGUCUACAGGACAAAGUAGAAAAAAUACCAAUGCAGCUUUAAGUCAGGAAGGACUGGAUUUGUGCUGGCUUUAGCCCUACAAACCUGUCGGCACUGGUGUCCACUAGGGUUAGUCAUCAUUCACCUGUUUCCUCCUUCAUUACCCAAAGCACCUGUCCCUCCCAAGGAGGUAUCCAGGAUUAAAUGUUUAUGACAAAUGAUGGAGUGUUAUGAGCAAAUUAAUGAAGGGACACCAGGGCUAUGCAGAGGUGAAAGCCAUUAAAUAGGAAAACUACAUAUGGGGCUUGGAAAUUCAGUCCUUAUUUAAUGGAAGAGAGUGAGGCACUGAGUAUUGAGGCCGUUCGAGGCCAUUCUGGGGGCCACUGGCUGUUGAUAAAGUUAUGCAUUCGUUAUCUUCAGCCCACCUUGAUGAAACCAGUGUUGGGAAGGUAAGAAGGCACACAGGCGUGGUUCUUAUCCUCAGGAGUGGAGAGACCAAUCCAACUCCAUCAUGUACCUAGCUGCAUGACCUGAUGACUUCUUCACCUCUCCAAGCCUCAGUUUCCUUGUCUGUAAAAUAGUGAUAACCUUUGCCUACACUCCAUUAUUAAUGUGAGAUUAAAACAUACACACUGAAUGUAAAAGUGCCUUAAAGUAGCAGUAGUGAGUGGUCCUUUUGAAUCCAGAGGAAGAGAAUGUAAUAUGAAAUUAGUAUUCAAACUGAUCACUCAUUCUGUUCUUUCAGAGCCCCUAGUAAAGGCUUCAUUAUGGAAUUCAGAGCAAAGUUCAGGUGAAAUGGAUAUCCUAACCACGGACUUUAGAUGUCAGUGUAGAGGGUCCAGAAGAGAUCUUAUUGGUCCAAAAUAAUCAAGUGUAUUUGCCGAUGAGAGAUCUAGUGAUCAUUGUGCAUUGACUGGCUGCCAACCACUGUGCAUAGGAGGUUUCCCUCACAUUGAGACCUUUACUUCUCUCACUCGUAGGUUCGUUUUAUUCUCAUAUUUCACAGAAGGGAUCUAAGUUUCCAAGAAGUGAAAUUAUGUGUCCAAAGUCACACUGAUAGUGUUGUAUGGAAAAAGGACUGGAGCUGUGAUUUUAAUUUCUGGUUCAGGAAUAAAACUAAAUGAGGGGCUGGCUUUGUGGUGCAGUGGAUUAAGCCACUGCCUGCGAUGCUGGCAUCCUAUAUGAAUGCUGGUCUGACUCCUGGCUGUUUUGGAUCCAGCUCCUUGUUAGUGUGCCUGGGAAAGCAGUGGAAGGUGGCCUAAGUACUUGGCCCUGCCACCAUGUGGAAGACCCCCAUGGAGUUCCAGGCUCCUGUCUUUGGCCUGGUGCAGCUGUAGCCAUUGUGGCCAUUUGGGAAGUGAACCAGCUGAUAGAAAAAUCUCUUAUUUCUCUCUCUCUCUUUCUCUGCCUUUCAAAUAAAUAAUCUAAAUCUUUUAAAAAUGAGUUAAUAUCUGGCUAACAGUAAGUGACAUGUAUUAGCUUUCAUUAUCAUUGCUUAACUAUGCACAUAGAAAAAUUUCUGGAAGGAUAUACAAUCUAGUGAUUAUUUCCAGUGGGUGGAACUGUGGUGACAUUUAUUCUUCCUACUGUAACAGUGUUAUUCUCACUAUUUGCACUUUCCUCCAUGGUGGGUUGGGGGUGGAAGGAGCCUGAAUGCUCAUCAGUGAUAGUUGAAGUGGUUUUGCCAACAUGCAAGCCUCCUCCAUGGACUCCUGAACCAUGUGGGAGCAAGACCUUAGGUGAGAGAGAACACCGAGGAGUAUUGGCGUGGAUCAGGGUAGUUCCAUGGGAGUGCAAAACCUUAGAAGUUGCUUGUCAAGGUGAAGGUGUGGUACCCCGAGGCAUCAUGUGGUAUCACACAGGAUAGCUAGUUUUAACUUCUUCCUUUAAUGUUUCUUGAGAAAAACUUGGAGCCUCCCUCCUUGCUUUUGAAUUUCUUUUUAGCCUGUGCUUGGGCAGGUGUGACCUUUUUGUUGUUGUUAAAAUAGAAAAUGACCUCUGAAUAUAUCCUGGUUCCUUCAGUUGGGAGCUCACUUACUUAGGACAAAGCCUCGGCCUCUCCUCUGAACGUGGAACCCACAUAAUACCCUUUCCUUCGUGAAUGGCAGACAUGAAGAUGAGGACAGGAAUGUUGAUGAUUUAAAAAAAAUCUAUUCAGAGUUGGGCUCAAAGACCUUACACAAGAAGGCUUGUCAUAUGAUUAAAUAGGAAAACCAGAGGUGCCUAUGGUCAUGAGGUGCUGAUGGUCUGUAAUGUAGUAUAGGUGGAUGUGUGUUCAUCUGUAGAAGAUAAAUCUCCUUAAGUGUCACCAUGCAUUUCUUUGCUCUAUAGCAAAGUAAGACCAAAAGUAAUUUGAGUUACAGUUCAUGAAAAUUCUGAACUUUUGAUGGCAAAUGAAAAGAUAGAAAUUCUCUGCCUCUUCUACAAAAACUCUGGCACGAGACUGUGAAUAUUUGGGGGUGUGUUGACAACAGUUGGCACAGAACCAGAAUCACACAAGAAGGAAAUCUAGACAGGUUCACGGUGAGUGAAACUAUGAAAGGAUUUGUGUUAACCUCAGAAGCAUUCUGUAAGUUUUUUGAAAUCUGCUUUGAAUACAAUUUUGCUUAUAUUAGUGUUUUCAUCAAACUUCAAAUUGUUCAUAUAGUAGUGUGGACUGUGUCACUGUUAAUCCUUUCUGCGGUCAGUUUCUAAGGUCUGAGAUGAAAGAUGCCCAUGAGGUUUCUCUGAGGACAGAGUCCUGGCCAGGGAAGGGGUGCUCACUGCCUUGUAGACUUGGAUGCUGAGACCUGGCACACUGGGUCCCGAGUCUCUGCAUUCCACCCUGUGCUUAGUUGUCUUUGGGUGUUCCACAACCAUAGCUCCCACCAGAAUGUCUGUCUUUGAACCUGCCUUUCAUGGAAAACCAAGCCUAGAACCUGCAGGAUGUGAGGUGAAGUCCUCAAGGUGUAUCCUCUGAGGAAGGCCCACUCUGCUGUACGUGAAGGGGUUUGUGUUUUUGUUAUUGAAAUGGAGAGGCUGUGUUCUUCCAUACUUCCCAGUGCUAACGAGUCCCAGAUUGCUGUCUUCUAUGAUAGUAACUACUGUCCAUACAGGCAGUAAGGGGGCUGCAGACACUGGCUGCAGGCUAACUCACCACCUCUCCAGGGGCUCUAGGCAGAGGGCACUGUGCUGGAGUUUAGAGUUCACUCUCCUGCUCCCUGGUCUUUUCACAUGGCUGUGUACUACUCAGGGUUCUCCAGAAAAGCAGAACUAGUGAAAGAUGUAUAGAUGCAUGCUAAGAUAGAAUUGAGAGAUUAUGUAAAGGAAUUUUGAGGAAUAGGCUCAUACGAUCGAGGGGCUGGCAAGUCUGAAGUUUGUGGAGCAGGCCAGCAGGCGGGAAGUUCCCGCAAGAACUAAUGAUGCAGUCUUAAAGCAGAAGGCAGAGGGGAGGCAGAAUUCCCUGUUCCUCCGGGGGCUCAGUCUUUUCCCUGAAGGCCUCAGCUGAUUGGCUGAGGCCCACCCACAUGAGAGAAGGUUGUCCACCAAUGUUGACGUUAACCAUAUCUGAAAAAUACCACCACAGCAGCAUCCGGGCUGGUGUCCGACCAAAAGCACCACAGUCCAGCCAAGUUGACACAUAAAAUUAAACAUUUAGCCAUCACAGGCUUGGUGCUCUGUUGAUUUCCCCAGGCCUGGCUUUCCAGCACCUAGGGUUUUGUCUGCUGAUUUCUUUCUUAGCUAAUCAUAAUACUGUAGUGUCUUGGUUUGGACUCUGUUUCUUGUCCUUUUUCCCAAGGAGUCUGCCCCAGUCUUCUUUAUUUUUCACUAAGCAAUGUGUGCUUGUUUGUUUGUUUUCUAAUUAAAGGAGGGAAGUGAACCUGAUAGUUAGGCUCAUUUAGAAACUCCAGGUUCAUGCUUCUCAGCCCUUCCCUGGCUCAGCCUUGUCUGUGAAAGGAAAUUUGGAAAAUAGAGAUAUCAAAACAAAAGAGUAAACAUUGUAAACAUUACUGUAGUUUCACCUACUGGAGGUAACCAUUAGAUUGUGUGUCCUUCCAGGCAUUUUUCUAUGUGCACAGAUAAGCGAGGAUAAUAAUAGCUAAUGCAUAUUACCAGCUCUCAGCCAGGUAUUAGCUUAUUUUACCCUCCCUAUAUCAGUGAGGCAGAUGCCAUUACUAUUUCCAUAUUCCCACGAGGGAAAGGAGGGCAGAGAUGUUAAGUGACUUGACUCACCCACGGCACACAGUUAGUGAAGGUGAGCUUCACAAUUAGACCCAAGCACUCUGGUUCUGGGGUCUGAGCUUUUAAUUACAUUAUAGUGCACCUCUGCACAUGUGUUUUCCUGCUGUAUAGGAGUUCUGUUCAGUGUGUAUAUUAACAUUCAGUAUGCAGUUUAUUUGACCCAAUUUUCACAUCACAGUGAUUAAUUUUCAAAUAUCAUUAAAUAAUCUUCGAUUUUUUUCAUCAUUUUUAGUGGUAGCAAGGAAUUACAGGCAGAGGCAAUAUUGCUUAUGUAAUCAUCUCCAUCUUCGGAAGUUUAGAUUGCCUCUUCUUUUUCUCUCAUAAAACCUACAACAUGAAUAUUCUUUGGGCCGGUGUUGUGGUGUAAUGGGUUAAGCUGCAACUUGCAAUGCCAGAAUUCCACAUGAGCUCUGGUUCAAGUCCCGGUUGCUUCACUUGCAAUCCAGCUCCCUGCUAAUGCAUCCAGGAAAGCAGUGGAAGAUGGCCCAAGUGCUUGGACCCCUUCCACGCAUAUGGAAGACCUGGAUAGAGUUCCAGGCUCAGCCCUGGCUAUUGUGGACAUUUGUUGAGUAAACCAGUGGAUGGAAGAAAACUCUACACCCCCCUGCCCCACAACUCUGCCUUUCAAAUAAUAAAUAAAUAAAUAAAUCUUUAAAAGCUCUUCCAGCACACAGUUCAGACUGCUCUCUGGGAAGGUGAUUUCAGUGUACAUUCCCAUGGUGGUUCAGCCCCUACAAACUCACCAACAUCAGGAGCUAUACUUUUUAAAAAGGCACCACUCUGAUAAAUGGUGACCAGUGCUGUGGUGAGUUCCUUUCACCGCUUGUGAAGAGAACAUUUUUCUCCCCAUGUGUUUAUUGAACAUUUGUAUUUUGUGUCUAAAUUUUUUGGUUCAUUUCCUUUAUCCAUUUUUUUCUAGAGAUAGAAACUGAACUCUAGCCUGCCAAAAUAAACUUUUAUUUUGCAGAUUACUUCCAAAACACUUUUUUCCUUAGCCUCUGGCCAUGAUUUCCUUUUCCAUCCUCUUCCAUUUAUGUAUUUGAUGCAUAGAGAUCUUUCUAUAAACUCACUGAUCUUGAUGAUGGGCAGGAGCUGAGCCCAGCAGCCACAGGGGCUCUGGGUAGGGGCUGGUGCUGCUACAUCUGGAGGACAUGUUGUUCAGCUUCUGGAGGGUGAGGAGGGCUUGGGGCUGCCGCCAACUGCCCAUUGUCCUCUUGUCCCACCUCCAGGCUACACUGCUCUGGAUGGAUGGAUGGAUGGAUGGAGGAGAGUUAGGGAGUUCUGGGGGGACAACUCCUGUCUUUGAGAGCAGCUUCCCCACUGUACUGUGAAGCCUCAGGCAGGACCCCCCGCCCCCAGCCCCUGCGUGCUGGUGAUGGUGGCUCUUUCACAUGGAUGAAGGUGGCUAUGAAUUAACAAAAGGCAGCUAUUACUUUAAGCUCUGAUUGAGAUUCUGGUUUUGCAGGGGGAGUGUUGGGUGGUUUGGGAUGGGCAGGUCUGGGUUCAUCUUGUUUGAGGAAUGUUUACCAUCUUUAGGUAGGAAGGGCUUAUGGCCUUCACGGUAGCCUUGAUCUCCCCACCCCAGGCUCAGGGUGGUAUCCAAGUGGCCAACAGUGUUACUGUGUGCAGUGCAUUUUCCUCAUCUGUUGAGGAUAAAAAUAGUACCACCAUCACUGGGCUAUGUGACGAUUAAGUCAGUUAAUCUGUGUAGAACAUUGAGAUAGUUUUAGGCAAUUUAGGAAAUUUCUUACUUAGAUUAACUCAUUUAAUCAUUACGCAGUCUAGUGAGGUAGGGACUAUUUUAUACUUAACUUACAAAUGAGACAGAGGGAGACCAGGGAGUAAUGGGUGGCCAGCCCUAGGUCAUGCAGCCGUAAGCGUCUGAGUUAGGAUAAUACAUCUGGGCAAUGUGUCUUCAGAGCACACAUCUGUAGCCAGGUGUGUAUGACAGCUAUCCUCUUCCAAGGUGGGGAGAAAAGGGUGAGGAAGGAGAGAAGCCUGGCCUUUUCCUCCCAGAAGUGAAGCUGAUAGGCUCACACAGGGAAUUCAGGUUCAUGCUUCUCAGCCCCUCCCUGCUGAGUCUUCUCCAGCCACACCUCCUAUGGGAAAUCUUCCUAGAUGAGCUCCACCCACAAGAUCACAUCUAUUUUCUCCACCUGCUUUGAACUUAUGAACCUAGUUGUUUGCAUGUUGCUUUUUUUCUUCCAAGAUUUAUUUUAUGUAUUUGAAAGGCAGAGUUAUGGGGUGGGGGGAGAGACAGAGAGAGUGAUCUUCCAUCCAUUGGUUCACUCCCUAAAUGGCCACAAUUGCCAGGGCUGGGCCAGACAAAAGCCAGGAGCCAGGAACUUCUUCCAGGUCUCCCACAUGAGUGCAGGAGUCCAAGCACUUGGGCCAUCAUCUGCUGCUUUCCCAAGCGAUAAACAGAGAGCUGGAUUGGAAGUGGAGCAGCUGGGACUUGAACCAGCACCCAUGUGGGAUCCCAGUGUCUGCAGUAGGUGGCUUCACCUGCUACACCACAACACCAGCCCCUGCAUGUUGCUUUGUGAUGCUUGAAAAAUUGAUAUCCAAUUCAGUGAGCAUUUAUCGAAUGCCUGGAACAGAUGACUUUUAGGAUCAAUAGAUGUGUAAAAUAGGCCAAACAUGGCUUCUCUCUGCCAGCAUCUGUAGCCUUGCCAGGGACUCAAAGACAGGCAUAUGAAACACAGUUGGAGGUCAGUGCUGUAGAAGAAAUAUGAACAACACACUACAGAAGCAUGGGGACAGGAAUUUGUUAGCUCAGCUGGGAGGUAGGUGGCUCUGGGGAGCCUCCUGGGUUGUGCAUUUGCACUGGGUGUUGAACGGUGUUAUGAGGAGGUCAGCCUAAGAAGAGCGUGGACAAAGGCCCAACUGUACACUAAGCCCAGUAGAGUAAAUGGCCCUGCUGGUGUCACUCUGGCUGCUUUGCUGUCACUGUCAGCAGGAACAAGAACUCUGCCCUGAAGAGUGUGUGUGAAUCUCAUUCUGGUCCUCAGUAGUGGCUCUGCCUUCUGUGCUCUUGCCCUGGGUUUUCCUGGCUGACACCCUAGUGCUCAGAGAUCGCUCCCGCUGCAGGGGUGGUUGCAGUUGGUGUCAUUGUUCUGUCUCCCUAAUCUGGCCAAGGGCAGGGCAACACUGAAGCCCUGUGGGGACUGCAUUCUUCUCAGGAGUGAGGCAGGAAACAAAGGCCGUGGACUUAGGGGAGCUGGUGCAGUCCCCUGGCUCUGGGAGAAGCAUCUGGCUGUGUUGUUUUGGUUGUUUUGAAGUCUUUUAAUGGACACCAAGUCUUGGCAUUAAGGUGAGGAAUCAAAGUGCUAGAUCACUUCUGAAUAUCCAGGGAACUUGUCACGGACAAUCAUUUUUCAUUUUCCCACCUAACCACCAACCCACCCAACUGACAUUUGUCUGACCCCUUCUCAGUGGUGUCAGGCAGUGAACUUGGUGCUGGGGACCCAAAGACUGAAAAGACCCAGUUCUUGCCCUCACAUUGAGUCUGGUGACCCGUGAUUAAACAGUUAAAACAUUGACUACUUCAAUCAAGGAGGCACAGAGAAGAGGCAUUGAGCACAGAGUUUGGGUUAAUAAGUUGACAAUUCUUGAACUGAAUCUCAGUAGACAAAAAAGGAGGUAGCAGAAGUCAUCUAGACAGACGGUAGAGUAGAAGGUGAGGGCAUAAGAUGCCCAAGAACAGCUUGUCUGGGGCUGAGAGAGCGUGUUGGGGUUGGCAGGGAGGUUUCGAGCUAUGUUUGGAGAAGGUGGGUGGGGCCAGGUCCGGAAGUUUGAAAUGGCAUUUGAACACUACCUUCAGAGCACUGAAGGGUUUUGAGCAUUGGAAUCACUUGCUUGGCUCUGCAUUUUCUAAAGAAAACUCACGGCACUGCACUGAUAACAGUGCGGGGGAGGGGAGAGGGAAGGGUGGAAACAAACACAUCCUUCAGGUGGGAGGCUGUUGCUGUUGCUGAUGAAGACCUUCCUGGAGGAAGAGGGGUUAAGAGCUACUAAGAGGGUAGAAUUGUCCAGACAUGGCUAUCAAGUAGGUAUGGGUGGUGUCCACAUGAUGACAUCUAAUGAUCUGACUUUGGCCACCACGGGUUCCUGCCGAAGCUCUCCAUGGAGACGGAGAUUAGAGGAAGAGAAACAGGUUGAAUGAGGGCUGGGAGCAGAGAUGAGUUCAGCUGGGGUGUGUUGAGUCAGCUGGAGGGAGAUAGGGCACCAGAGCUGAGGACGUUGGAUCCCAAGACAGAUUUGGAAAUUUUCAACCUCAAACUUACAAAGUUAAAAAGACUGUUGAGUUUCUGCUCAGCAGAUAGGACAGAUCAAGAAGGUUGGGGAAGAAAGGGCACGUGUCAGGGAGGAAGCACUGCAUCAAAGAGACACAGGCAAAUAAAGACUGAAAAGGCGCUUGGCCCUGGCAGGAUGAGAGCAUGACUGGCUGCGGAGACCACAGAUCUUGAAGUGCAGGAGAGAGGGAGUUGAAUGCAGUGGAUUCAGGGGUGAGUGGGAGGUGAUGGUGAGGGGAGAGUGAAGACAGCUUCUCAGCAGAAAGGAAAACCAAAGGGAGAGGUGCAGAAGGAGAAACAAGUCGAGGAGGAAUUAUUUUGAAUUGAGAAAGACUUGAUCAGCCUGUGUGGUGAAGGGAAGGAGUCCAUAGACAAGGGUUGAACGUGGAAGGCUGAAGUCCCCAGAAGUCAUCUUGGCCACAGGAUCCACAGGAACUUCCAGGCUCCACAGGCAAGGCGGCCUCCUGGCCUGAAAAGCCACCAUUCUGCUGCCCCCCGGGCCUUGGCUCCUCCUGUGCUUUGCCAGGGCCUGUCAUGAGCCUUUGUUGUGCAGCUAGUAGAACUGACUUCAGAUCAGACUCAAACCUCGUCUCUUAAAGCUUCAGGCCGCCACUUUAUAAGAGCAGGAAGCUUUUCUUGGGUCUCUGCUGUCAACAGUUGUGGAGUCAGGUGGGCCAGGAGACAAGGCUAGCACACAGGUAAGCAGGGGUACCACCUGUGGUAUUGGUUCUGAGCCAGGCAGAGGGCUGCGUUACUCCACAGGGUCCUGUGGCCAUGCUGCCACCUACUGUUCAGUGUGGUGUAUAGCAGGGCCGCCUCUCCUUGCCCAUCAAUCACCCUUCUGCAGGAAACAGGAAAAACCAGAAAGUCCAUAAAGAAGCUGGACUUGAGAGAAAAACCAUUCCAUCCUGACCCAGGGACAGAACGUACAUCAGGGGAUGAAGACAGACAGGUGGUGAAACUAUCGAUCAGCUUAGGCAGAGGCCAAUAGGACGCACAGGGUUAUAGUUUAUAAGACGCUUUUGCCUAGACUGCCUCUCAUGCCAUAAGUUAGUGGUUGUUUUCCCUAUUUACAGGUGUGGCUUAUCCCUGGAAGUUUCAAGCAGCUUGUCCAAGUCAGUUGUCUGUUACAUGGCAGAGCUCAGAUUUGAAACAGCUUCUUUUACAUUUUGGAGGUGGGGAACACUGAGUUCCAUUUCAGAAGCAAUAGGAAUGGUGUAAGACAAGAGUAGCUGUGAAAUGUGAAGAGUCUGACCAAAAUGAGACCACAAAGCCCUAUGCCUGGCUGACCUUAUGGGGUAGAGUUUGGCUUGGAGGUGAGAAGGUCCACCACUGCCCAGAGUGGACAGGACUGCUGGGCUCAAGUAGGGGCCUGCCAGUGAGAUGAGCUCUAGCGAGACCUGCACAGGAGCCAGGGUAUCAGAUCACAGGAGGCCUCUGGGGGAAGGCCCAUGGGGUGACUGACAGAACCACCCCUGGAAAACCAUCAUUUGGCCUCCUCACCAGUAGCUGGAAUGGAUAACCCAAGAUCCGAGAAGUGCACCAGCAAGUGGAUGGGUCCCUGUGAGUAGGGAAGCCCAGGGAAAUCUGCCCAUGAGCACCUCCUGGUAGGAUUACAGGGAGGCCGGAGAAGAGAAAAAUCCAGCGAGCUCACCUGCCGCCUGACACUGGCUGGGAAGGGAGACCAGGGGGCCUCUGGGGGUGCUGGUUGGGGAUGGGUGGGAAGAACUGCCUUCUCUUCAGAACCCCCAGGUUAUAAGGAGAUAAAGUGUUUUUGUCUCACUUUCUUAGACUGUUUCAGUAAAGAUGUGGAGGUAGUACCUGGGGGAGGGGACACGUAGAGGAUCCCUACCAAGAGUGAGAAGGCAGAGACAGGUGCUGGUUCCUGGCUCCAGGUGUCAACCAAGCCCAUCUGCAUGGUCUUCCAAAGCUUUAGGAUAAGAGUCCUGUGCUUGGAACAGCUUUCUACUUCUCCCACUUCCUAAUUACUCUCUUUGGCUUUGCUUUCCUCUUGGUUUCCCUAAUAAAGUUACCUUUGAAAAUAAUCCCUCCUACCCCUAUCUUUUCUAAAAGUAGAUAGAGUCAUUUGUUCCUGUGCAGGGCAGAGCAAAUAAGGAACAGACCACCUCCAGAGGCCCAGGCCUUAGAGUGAGCAUUGCAAGACAGGUGAGCUGGGGCAAGAGAGAAGGGCAACCAAGGAGGAAGACUGGCCGUGUGGGGCUGUGUAGAGGGCUCUGCAGCCCUCCUUCCCCUACCCUUCCACCCCACCAACCCCUUUCCUUUCCCCACACACUCAGUGUCUCCCUCUUCCCCAUUCACAAGCAGCUACUGGAGUUGGCACUGUGGUGUAGUAGGCUAAGCCUCCGCCUGAGGUGCCAGUAUCUCAUAUGAGCACUGGUUCGUGUCCAGCUGCUCCUCUUCUGAUCCAGCUCUCUUCUUAUGGCCUGGGAAAGCAAUGGAAGAUGGCCCAAGUGCUUGGUCCCCUGCACCCAUGUGGGAGACCUGGAACAAGCUCCUGGCUACUGGCUUUGGAAUGGCUCAGCUCUGACCAUUGUGGCCAUUUGGGGAGUGAACCAGCAGAUAGAAGACCUUUCUCUCUGUUUCUCCCUCUCUCAUCUGUAACACUACCUCUCAAAUAAAUAAAAUCUUUUUAAAAAGCAGCUACUUAAGUUUAUAACAACUUAGAUCCUAUUGGUGAUAUGAUAAGAAAUAGUAAGCAGUGAUUAUGUGCCUGAACCUUUGUUACUUCCACUCAGAUUGUCUCACAUUUUUCUUAAAAAAAAAAUUCUGACUGAGUAAUACAGACCCACUAUGGGAUAUCCAGGAAAAGAUAAUGAGGGUAAUAUCAAUCAGAUACACUUUUUAUUUAACUAAAAGUGAUCAACCUUAUCUUUGAUGACUGGUAAAUUCCGGCCACAUCCCUCCUGACCACUAAAGGGUCAUGGGAGCCUAGUACACAGUGAAUGCUCAGUCAGAACUUGUUGGGCAUCUGGCUCUUGACUGGCACCCAGUGAGCUCCAAGUUUCCUGUGCGUUGGGAGUGGUAGCUGGUCUGCGGCAUACUGGCUGGGAAGCAGGCUGAAUUCCAUGUAGACUUAGCUGAUGGCUUCCUGUUGUGACAAUAAGCUCCGUCCUGCAGGAAGUGGGUUUGGAUGCUGCGUCUGGAUCACCUGAGUCUGAUGAGUAGUCCGGGAGGAGCUAGUCUCUAACAAUCAGAUACUGAGUACCUACUGUGUACCAGGGACUGCACAAGCUGCUGGGGGUACUUUGGCUAUGGGAUCUACAAAGUAACUGGGAUGUAAGCAGGCAUGUGUGGUCCCAGAGCCAGGGACACAACGCUGGAAGGGCAGAGCAGCUUGCUGCAAGGCUGGGCACUGCAGGAAGGCUCCCAUGGGGCGGCGGCCUGAGAGCUGGGCCCUGAUGAAUGAGUGGAGGCUGGGGGCCUUCAGGUAAAGUAGGAAGCUAUGCCAGGAGAAAUGAAGAAUUACAGCAGCAUUCUGGAGGUGAGAGCAUGCUGAAGCAGACGUGUGACUGACCCAAGGUCACGCCUUGGAAUAAGUAAGCGCCCUUCAUCUCGGGCUGGAAGAAGGCGUUGGGCUGAGGCUGAUUACAAUGAUAGCUUUGGCUUCAAAGGUUGGCAGGGCAGUCAUUUGAAAUUCAGAAUACAUAGUUCUCAUGCAAAUAAGGGUAUCCGUAAUGAUUAUACUCUUUUCAAACUAUCAUUUUGGACUAACAGUUCCAGGUUCUGUUCUGAGAAUUCUGUUUGCAUUUCCUUCUUUAGUGGGCCAGGAAUUCUUACUGGGCUCCUUUUAGUGACUACCAGGAGACUGCACAGGUGAAGAGAACCAACCCAAAGGGUCUUCCACCACAGGCUGUCAUCCGGCCACAGAGCGCCCAUUGCAGGCCCUGAACGUG